UACGUAGGGUGCGAGCGUUGUCCGGAAUUAUUGGGCGUAAAGAGCUCGUAGGCGGUGUGUCACGUCGGCCGUGAAAACCUGGGGCUUAACUCUGGGCGUGCGGUCGAUACGGGCAUCACUAGAGUUCGGCAGGGGAGACUGGAAUUCCUGGUGUAGCGGUGAAAUGCGCAGAUAUCAGGAAGAACACCCGUGGCUAAGGCGGCUCUCUAGUACGGUACUGACGCUGAGACGCGAAAGCGUGGGGAGCGAACAGG
rnacentral:rRNA from 1 species